GGCCUAGUGGCUGGCCUGGCGUCUCUUGGAUGGAAAUGCUGAAGACUCCUCUGCUGAUCUGAGAAACGCGUACUAGAACUUGACUAGAACUUGACAGAGCUGCUCGUGGGCAGCAAGGCAUUGGCCUUGUGGGUGUGGAUGCAGCAUGGCCCCACCGGGAACAGAGCUGCAGGGCGGCCAGGCCUGGGGAGUGCUUGGGUGCGUGCGUGCCCCAGUGAGCGUGUGGGAUCCUGUGGAACGUGCACGUGUGUGUGAGCGUGCAGGUCUCCCUGGGUGAGCGUGCUUUCCUGCGUGUCUAGAGGGCACCGCCUCUCUCCUCCUAACCAGCACCCUGCGCAGAGUUUGCCCCUUAAAUGAAGGUAAGCUGCGUCUCGAAGAGCCCCUGAGCCCGCCCUCAAGGGAGGGGGCUUCCCUGACCCCGCUGACUCCUUAGGGGUGCCUCAGGUGGGGUGUGGGGCCCAGCCUUGCACAGGGGCCCAGGGCGUGGGAGGCAGGAUAUGCUGGCGUGUGCCAUGUAGGGUACACAGGGCAGUCUUCCAACGUGCCGCCUUGGAACCACCGUGAUCCCCAGGGGACGUAAGGCCAGUAAAAAGAGCCGCUGCAUGCAGGCCUGGGCACCUCCUAGACACCUCUGGGUGGUCUGGGGAUGGGGCAUGGGGGCACGCGUGGGCAGGGCUGCUGAGAACCUCAAUUCACGCCACCUCACCGCUCACCCAGUGGGCCCAGGAUGGACCCGAGGAUCCAGAUGCUUAUUCCCAGGGGCUGUGGCCAUGGUUAAGGUCGGGAGAGUGCCACCUCCCCAGCACUGCUAUCCAGCAUUUCCUGACCACUUGCUGUGGGCCUGACGUCUCCUUUAAUGUCCGAUGACCAUCCUUGUCCCUUACAGCACAUUUCUACUGAAAUGUUAAGAUGUCGCUGGGUCUUCACGCCUCCCGGGGAGGUGUCUAUACCCUUCGGGUUUCCUGUCCUUCCUCUGUGCUCUAUGAACUCUGCUCCUUCCACCCCAAAAUAGUCCCCAUGACCGCCCCCCCGC